rnacentral:rRNA from 1 species
ACGCUCGACACCUACGGGACAGCAGUGGGGAAUAUUGCACAAUGGGGGAAACCCUGAUGCAGCGACGCCGCGUGAAGGAAGAAGUAUCUCGGUAUGUAAACUUCUAUCAGCAGGGAAGAAAAUGACGGUACCUGACUAAGAAGCCCCGGCUAACUACGUGCCAGCAGCCGCGGUAAUCUGAGCGGGCUGGCAAGGC